rnacentral:piRNA from 1 species
CAAAGUCCAUGGUCCUGGGGACUCCUCC